CCAAAGAUUGCAGAGGGGGAUUUAAGGAGGUUUGCCAAACUGCGGUCGACAUCUUCAGAACUUGGGGUUGAGCUUCCACUAUAUGGAGUACGAUUUUUCCCUUUGCAAUAAUGCCCUGUGCUUCUUAAUUUUCCCCAUUUUGUAUGGUAAUAAACUUGUUAAUUCAACAGGACCUUAUUUGUUGAAUCAUCGAGAAUAUGCUCCAUUUUCAUUUCAAGAAAUAAGUACUUUCGAAUUACAGAUUCCUGUCAAAUGUCCUGUGUCUGGAAUCAUCACGCAGAGAAAACUUCUCAGUGUAGAAUGUUUUGAGGUCUCGUGGGAGCACUUGGACGGACUUGCAACUAGCAUCGUGCCUGCUGAUCGUUUGGAAAGUGCUUGUCCUGAAAAGAUACUGGAGUUCAAGGAGAAAAUAGCUCUGCAGAAAAAACAGAAGUGUCACAAGCCAUGACAGAGAAAAUUGAAGAGCCAGUCAUC